rnacentral:rRNA from 1 species
AGGAACCUGCCUUCCAGAGGGGGACGAACAGUUGGAAACGACUGCUAAUACCGCAUGAUGCAUUGAAGUCGCAUGGCUUUGAUGUCAAAGAUUUAUCGCUGGAAGAUGGCCUCGCGUCUGAUUAGCUAGUUGGUGAGGUAACGGCCCACCAAGGCGACGAUCAGUAGCCGGACUGAGAGGUUGGCCGGCCACAUUGGGACUGAGAUACGGCCCAGACUCCUACGGAAGGCAGCAG